CUGGAAUUGCCCAGGGAUGAGCAGAAGCCGUGUAGCAAACAGCAGCUACAGAUCAUUUCAAGAGAAAUAUUAGUUCAACUGCAACCAAUUUCCUGCCCUUUGCCUUGGGACACUAUUUUGCAUGAGUCUAUUUUUAACCUGGGUUAUUUCUUUACUAUGUUGUGGUAGCUGCAGGCGCACUGCCUUCAGUUUAUCAAAUGUUAACUUGGAAAAAUGGACUUAUGCAGACCGUAUCUAAAGGGAGAUGUGAAAGUUGUUGUACUUGGAUUAAGGAUAGAUGUGAUACAUUUUGGAGAAGAUUUGUUAUUUGGGAGAUUUCUCCUACAGUUUUCUUUCAUCUCAGCAAGACACACAGCAAUGCUCUGCUGGAAAGCUUUAUCAAGGAAGGACAUGGGUGUAAGAAAGAAGCCAAAGAAGAAACAAGAAGGAUUUUUCUGAACUCCAGCAGAUUGUCUUUGCUGCCAGAUUUUGCUGGUUUUUCUGCAGAGACUUUUAAAAGCCAAGCUUCUCUGCAUAACUGAUGAAGAAAGUAUUGCAAUUUAAUGAACGUUUUAUAAAGAAAUAUAGGUCAUUAACAAGUUACCAUGCUGACUCUGGCUUCUUCCCUUUGCUUUUUAAUGGUGGAUCAUCU
rnacentral:lncRNA from 1 species